CUGUUAGAGCAAUCGAAGCAGUGAACUUAAGCCCCAGUAAACGGCGGCCGUAACUAUAACGGUCCUAAGGUAGCGAAAUUCCUUGUCGGGUAAGUUCCGACCCGCACGAAAGGCGUAACGAUUUGGGCACUGUCUCAACAACAGACUCGGUGAAAUUGUAAUUCCGGUGAAGAUGCCGGAUACCUGCGACAGGACGGAAAGACCCCAUGGAGCUUUACUGUAGCUUGACAUUGGGUCUUGGUACUACAUGUACAGGAUAGGUGGGAGGCUUUGAAACCAGGACGCCAGUUUUGGCGGAGCCAUCCUUGGGAUACCACCCUUGUAGUACUGGGACUCUAACCAUAGGCCAUGAAUCUGGUCUUGGGACACUGUCAGGUGGGCAGUUUGACUGGGGCGGUCGCCUCCCAAAAGGUAACGGAGGCGCUCAAAGGUUCUCUCAGUACGGUCGGAAAUCGUACGUAGAGUGUAAAGGCAAAAGAGAGCUUGAUUGCAAGACAUACAGGUCGAGCAAGGAUGAAAAUCGGACUUAGUGAUCCGGUGGUUCUGCGUGGAAGGGCCAUCGCUCAACGGAUAAAAGCUACCCUGGGGAUAACAGGCUUAUCUCCCCCAAGAGUCCACAUCGACGGGGAGGUUUGGCACCUCGAUGUCGGCUCAUCACAUCCUGGGGCUGUAGUAGGUCCCAAGGGUUGGGCUGUUCGCCCAUUAAAGUGGUACGCGAGCUGGGUUCAGAACGUCGUGAGACAGUUCGGUCCCUAUCCGUCGCAGGCGUAGGAAAUUUGAGAAGACCUGUCCUUAGUACGAGAGGACCGGGAUGGACGUACCUCUGGUGUACCAGUUGUCCUGCCAAGGGCAUGGCUGGGUAGCUAUGUACGGAAUGGAUAAGCGCUGAAAGCAUCUAAGCGCGAAGCCAACUUCAAGAUAAGAUUUCCCACCGCAAGGGUAAGACCCCAGAAAGACUAUCUGGUUGAUAGGUCGAAGGUGUAAGUGCAGCAAUGUAUUUAGCUUAUCGAUACUAAUAGGUCGAGGACUUGACCAA
rnacentral:rRNA from 1 species